ACGAACGCUGGCGGCGUGCUUAACACAUGCAAGUCGAACGGAAAGGCCCCUUUGGGGGUGCUCGAGUGGCGAACGGGUGAGUAACACGUGGGUGAUCUGCCCUGCACUUUGGGAUAAGCCUGGGAAACUGGGUCUAAUACCGGAUAGGACUACGGCCUGCAUGGGUUGUGGUGGAAAGCUUUUGCGGUGUGGGAUGGGCCCGCGGCCUAUCAGCUUGUUGGUGGGGUGAUGGCCUACCAAGGCGACGACGGGUAGCCGGCCUGAGAGGGUGUCCGGCCACACUGGGACUGAGAUACGGCCCAGACUCCUACGGGAGGCAGCAGUGGGGAACAUUGCACAAUGGGCGCAAGCCUGAUGCAGCGACGCCGCGUGAGGGAUGACGGCCUUCGGGUUGUAAACCUCUUUCACUAGGGACGAAGCGCAAGUGACGGUACCUAGAGAAGAAGCACCGGCCAACUACGUGCCAGCAGCCGCGGUAAUACGUAGGGUGCGAGCGUUGUCCGGAAUUACUGGGCGUAAAGAGCUCGUAGGUGGUUUGUCGCGUUGUUCGUGAAAACUCACAGCUUAACUGUGGGCGUGCGGGCGAUACGGGCAGACUGGAGUACUGCAGGGGAGACUGGAAUUCCUGGUGUAGCGGUGGAAUGCGCAGAUAUCAGGAGGAACACCGGUGGCGAAGGCGGGUCCCUGGGCAGUAACUGACGCUGAGGAGCGAAAGCGUGGGGAGCGAACAGGAUUAGAUACCCUGGUAGUCCACGCCGUAAACGGUGGGUACUAGGUGUGGGUCUCCUUCCUUGGGAUCCGUGCCGUAGCUAACGCAUUAAGUACCCCGCCUGGGGAGUACGGCCGCAAGGCUAAAACUCAAAGGAAUUGACGGGGGCCCGCACAAGCGGCGGAGCAUGUGGAUUAAUUCGAUGCAACGCGAAGAACCUUACCUGGGUUUGACAUGCACAGGACGCCGGCAGAGAUGUCGGUUCCCUUGUGGCCUGUGUGCAGGUGGUGCAUGGCUGUCGUCAGCUCGUGUCGUGAGAUGUUGGGUUAAGUCCCGCAACGAGCGCAACCCUUGUCUCAUGUUGCCAGCGGGUAAUGCCGGGGACUCGUGAGAGACUGCCGGGGUCAACUCGGAGGAAGGUGGGGAUGACGUCAAGUCAUCAUGCCCCUUAUGUCCAGGGCUUCACACAUGCUACAAUGGCCGGUACAAAGGGCUGCGAUGCCGUGAGGUGGAGCGAAUCCUUUCAAAGCCGGUCUCAGUUCGGAUCGGGGUCUGCAACUCGGCCCCGUGAAGUCGGAGUCGCUAGUAAUCGCAGAUCAGCAACGCUGCGAUGAAUACGUUCCCGGGCCUUGUACACACCGCCCGUCACGUCAUGAAAGUCGGUAACACCCGAAGCCCGUGGCCUAACCCCUUGUGGGAGGGAGCGGUCGAAGGUGGGAUCGGCGAUUGGGACG
rnacentral:rRNA from 1 species